AUACGUAUGGGGCAAGCGUUAUCCGGAUUCAUUGGGCGUAAAGAGCGCGUAGGUGGAUUUUUAAGUGAGAUGUGAAAUACUCGGGCUUAACCUGAGUGCUGCAUUUCAAACUGGAAGUCUAGAGUGCAGGAGAGGAGAAGGGAAUUCCUAGUGUAGCGGUGAAAUGCGUAGAGAUUAGGAAGAACACCAGUGGCGAAGGCGCUUCUCUGGACUGUAACUGACGCUGAGGCUCGAAAGCGUGGGGAGC
rnacentral:rRNA from 1 species